rnacentral:rRNA from 1 species
GUGGGGAAUCUUCCGCAAUGGACGAAAGUCUGACGGAGCGACGCCGCGUGAGUGAAGAAGGCCUUCGGGUCGUAAAGCUCUGUCAUCAGGGACGAACGGCCGGUGGAGUGGAAAGCCACCGGAUUGACGGUACCUGAGAAGGAAGCCACGGCUAACUACGUGCCAGCAGCCGCGGUAAUACGUAGGUGGCAAGCGUUGUCCGGAAUUAUUGGGCGUAAAGCGCGCGCAGGUGGGAUCUUAAGUCCAUUUUUAAAGUUCGGAGCUCAACUCCGUGAUGGGAUGGAAACUGGGAUUCUUGAGUACCGGAGAGGAAAGCGGAAUUCCCCGUGUAGCGGUGAAAUGCGUAGAUAUGGGGAGGAACACCAGUGGCGAAGGCGGCUUGCUGGGCCGAAACUGACGCUGAGGCGCGAAAGCGUGGGGAGCAAACAGGAUUAGAUACCCGUGUAGUCC